AGACGCCUCUGCAACCCAGAAGUCACCGAACUCCUGAUCCGACAAACGAAGCGGAUGGUAAAGGUGGUUUGUCCAGUCAGAACAUACUGACUGUGGUUGUCUGCGUUGUCCUGAUGAUCCUGGUUGUUGUUGUUGGAGUCAUAGUUUAUUUACCACAGAAGUGUCAAAAACAAAAACUUAUAUUGGUACCGACUGUCUAAGUGCAC
rnacentral:lncRNA from 1 species